rnacentral:rRNA from 1 species
GAUGAACGCUGGCGGCGUGCCUAAUACAUGCCAGUCGAGCGAACAGAUGAGGAGCUUGCUCCUCUGACGUUAACGGCGGACUGGUGAGUAACACGUGGAUACCCUACCUAUAAGACUGGGAUAACGUCGUAAAACCUGAGCUCAUAACCGAUAAUAUAUUGAAACUCAUUGUUCAAUGAUGAAAGACGGUUUUACUGUCUCUUAUAGCUAGCACCUCGCCGCAUUAGCUAGUUGGUAAGGUAACGGCUUACCAAGGCAACGAUGCGUAGCCGACCUGAGAGGGUGAUCGGCCACACUGGAACUGAGACACGGCCCAGACUCCUACGGGAGGCAGCAGUAGGGAAUCUUCCGAAAUGGGCGAAAGCCGGACGGAGCAACGCCGCGGGAGUGAUGAAGGUCUUCGGAUCGUAAAACUCUGUUAUUAGGGAAGAAGAAAUGUGUAAGUAACUAUGCACGUCUUGACGGUACCUAAUCAGAAAGCCACGGCUAACUACGUG